rnacentral:rRNA from 1 species
CUCGGCAACGGAUAUCUCGACUCUCGCAUCGAUGAAGAACGUAGCGAAAUGCGAUACUUGGUGUGAAUUGCAGAAUCCCGUGAACCAUCGAGUCUUUGAACGCAAGUUGCGCCCGAAGCCAUUAGGCUGAGGGCACGUCUGCCUGGGCGUCACGC